UGACCUGGCUUGCCACGGGGCCUGUCUGGAAGCUUGCACAGUUGUGUCCCCUGGUGGUUUGACUUCCAGAUAAACUGAGAAGCUGCGUCUCCAUGGGAACAGCAGGAGAGAACAAAAUGGGGAAUCAAGGCCUAGAGGCAACAGGACCAGUCGACGAUGGACUGAAAUUUGAAAUCAAGAGCCAACAGAAAUCAUGGAGAUGCAGAAGUGGCACUGGCCAGGGGAGAACUAAGAAGCCACCCCCACCCCAGGAGCCAGCUGGCACAGACCAGGAGAGGAAGAGCUGUUCCCCGCCCCUAGUCCUGGGGCAGCAACUGCUGAUUCAGAGGACGGGCUGAGAUGACGGCAACUGAAGUAAGGAAACAAGUUCAUGCUUGUGUUGUUUGAUUGACUCUGCAGACCUAAAGCUGGUAGUCUGAGCAGCUAUUUAGAGGAUAAGAAAAGGCGUUAUGGUAGCUAUUGUUAAUUCCCUAUCAUCUUGCUUUGAAGUCCUGUAUCAUUUUCAUUGUUUUGUUUUGUUUGAUUUUAUUCCAUUUUGUUUUGAUUGAUUUUAUCAUGUCUGAGGGUAUGGAUAGCUAUCUUGAAAAUAACAAGAGGCAUUAGGGUAGCCAUUGAUGAUUUCCUGUUAUCUUGUUUUGAAGUUCUGUAUCACUUUCAUUGUCUUGUUUUGAUUGACUUUAUUCUGUUGUACUUUGUCUUGUUUUAGUCUCUUUCAAGUAAAAAUAAAAUGAAAUAAGUUUAAAUUUAUAGUAAAAUUUCAUAAAUAAUGCAAAUAACUAUCUCCUUCAUCUAGAUUGUUGGUUGUUAACUUUUUACUACAUUUGCUCCAACAUUGGGUUUCUGCAACAAACUGCAACAUAAGCUGCAACAAAAUAACUGAGAUAAUACAUUUUAAAAGAGAGAGAGGAAAAAAAAAGAGGGGCUGGGGAGUUAGCUCAGUGGCAUAAAUGCCU